CACGUAGGGCGCAAGCGUUGUCCGGAAUUAUUGGGCGUAAAGAGCUCGUAGGCGGUCUGUUGCGUCCGCUGUGAAAACUCGGGGCUUAACCCCGAGCCUGCAGUGGAUACGGGCAGACUAGAGGUAGGUAGGGGAGAAUGGAAUUCCCGGUGUAGCGGUGAAAUGCGCAGAUAUCGGGAGGAACACCGGUGGCGAAGGCGGCAUCCUGGACCAAUUCUGACGCUGAGGAGCGAAAGCCAGGGGAGCAAACGGGG
rnacentral:rRNA from 1 species